AGCUCCAGUUGUCCAAGCUUGAAAUUGGUGAUUCCUAUGGAUCCCAGACGCAAACUACCUUCAUCUAUCCCCGGGGCAGCAAAUGCAAAUGCCUUCAGGGGCUAGGCAAGAAAUAUAAAGAAUGGAUGAAGGGGACUAAGGAGGGGCCAUGGUGAACUGGAGGGAACCGUGUCACAUCUGAAGGGGCAGCUGUCUCUCACAUCAGCCAGUUGUUGCCCGGUGGAUGGCCCUGUAAAAAGAAGCCAUGUGAACCAUGCUUGCUACGUGAGGACACAGCAAGGAGACAGCCUCUGAAUCCAGGAAGAGGUCUCUCACCAGAACCGGAACACGCUAGCACUGUGAUCUUUCGCCUCCAGAGAUGUGAAAAAAAUAUACAUUUCUGUGUUUUUUAAA